GCGAGGCAGAGCAAAUCCCUAAAAGCCGUCCCAGUUCGGAUCGCAGGCUGCAACCCGCCUGCGUGAAGUUGGAAUCGCUAGUAAUCGCGGAUCAGCAUGCCGCGGUGAAUACGUUCCCGGGCCUUGUACACACCGCCCGUCACACCAUGAGAGUCGGGAACACCCGAAGUCCGUAGCCUGACCGCAAGGGGGGCGCGGCCGAAGGUGGGUUCGAUAAUUGGGGUGAAGUCGUAACAAGGUAAC
rnacentral:rRNA from 1 species